AUUGAACGCUGGCGGAAUGCUUUACACAUGCAAGUCGAGCGGCAGCGCGGGGGCAACCCUGGCGGCGAGCGGCGAACGGGUGAGUAAUAUAUCGGAACGUACCCUGUCGUGGGGGAUAACACAGCGAAAGCUGUGCUAAUACCGCAUACGACCUGAGGGUGAAAGCGGGGGAUCGCAAGACCUCGCGCGAUGGGAGCGGCCGAUAUCGGAUUAGCUUGUUGGUGAGGUAAAGGCUCACCAAGGCGACGAUCCGUAGCUGGUCUGAGAGGACGACCAGCCACACUGGAACUGAGACACGGUCCAGACUCCUACGGGAGGCAGCAGUGGGGAAUUUUGGACAAUGGGGGCAACCCUGAUCCAGCCAUUCCGCGUGAGUGAAGAAGGCCUUCGG
rnacentral:rRNA from 1 species